CUUUCUCAGUGGUACAGCACUUGUCAAGCUGCACGUGGAAUCAGAGCCCAGCUACAACAGAACAAAAGGAAAAGUCUGAGUCCCCCAUCACUGCCUUCCGUUACUCCCCCUGCAGUCCCUGAAAGUCGUGGCUCCUGCCUCCAGGUUCUGGCCCUGUUUGAGUUCCUGUCCUGACUUCCUUCAGUGAUGAACAGCAGUGUAAAAAUGCAUUUAUCCCAAGAACACUUCCCAGAAAGCUUCCUGCAGGGGAGUCUCCAUCACAGACUUGGAUUAUUCACAUCUGCUGAAAAAGGCUCAUUCAUAGAGCAGCCUGGCUUCUCUGAGUCUCCAGUGCAGUGUUGGCCAGUUUUCAUGUCCAUAAGCCUACAUUCACAUUCUAGCUAUCACCAAUGCAAAGCUGUGUGUAUCUCCAGUUCCCCUUGUAUUUCUCACUUGGAUUCCACAUUCACAAGUGAAGAAAGAGGGGUGAAUGACUUUACUCUCCACAGUCUCUGCUGCUGUACUUAGGGAAGGUGAAGAAAAUGCUGCCAGGUCUUUGGGUGGCUCUACCCAGUGAGAGACAGCAAGUGAAGAAUGUUGAGGAUGUGAAAAUAAACAUGCUACAGCAUAUAUGAUAAAGAGCCGCAUGAGUUCCCAUAUUAGAAAAUGCACAUCGUCUCUGGACCUCCACAGAGCAGUUCCUGUUUGCAGAGCGAACCACAAAUGGAAUUCACCCAGGUUCCCUGGCAUUACAUUCAAAUCAUUGUUCCUUUAUU